UUUCUAUAUUUCUAGAAUUUUAUCAUCUGUUAUGUGUUAUUUAUCAACAAGUCAGUUUGUCAAAUUAUGAUUAUUUUGAUAUAAAUAAAAUCUCUAGUAUUACUAAUCUUUAUUUAACGAAGAAAACUAACAAGAAAAUAAUAUAACAAGAUGUUACAUCAAGUUUAAAUAUAUUUAAACAUUUUGGCCAUAAGAAAUUCAUGUUGUAAAAAUGGAUCAGUCCAGGCCACCAUUACAAGAACAAGGUACUCCUAAGGGCAUGGAGAGCCGCGUGACGUAUGUGCUCAGUCACUGCACUAGUGGUGACGUCAGACGUAAGCGUGUCUCUUUCCAGCGCGCGCUCCUUGUCGCCGUCUAUCUCAUAUUGUUUGUGUUGAUCGCCAUAUUUAUUCUUGAAUUGUUGGAUUAUAUUCAUUGAGAUGA